GGCCGGUUGGCCCAAUGGCAAGGCGUCUGACUACGACUCGCGGAUUCUUCUCAAGCUAGGGGAUUCGGAGAUUGUGCAAUCAGGAGAUUCUGGGUUCGACCCCCAGGCUGGUCA
rnacentral:tRNA from 1 species